ACCUCAUUUUAACUUGAUUACCUCUGUAAAGGUCCUGUCUCCAAACACAGUCACAUUCUGAGCCACUUGGGAUUGAGAAUUCAACAUACAGAUUUUGAGGGGGACAUAUCCAACCCAUAGCAUCCACUACAUUCCACUCUAUUCCAGAAAGGGCUGGAAUGGUGCCCUUUCUCCCCCCAGGACUCUGGGUGCUUGUCAAGCCCCGAGGACACCCCUGCUGCUGUGCAGAUUAGGAUCGUUGUAGAUGGAGUCCUGCGUGUCAACAUCUGUGACGACUAAUAGGCAGCACCUCACCCCCGCCCCUCGGUCACUGUUUCUUGAGAUCAAGCUGGUGAAUGAGCAAAUAAUUCAGCCCCAUCAAAUACACUCGUGAACACUGGGGUGUGAGAACCCUGACCAUUCUGCCCUGUCACGCCCGUUUACGCACCAACCUCAGAACCCCCUCCCCCUGAGUGCCUUCUCCUUUAUAUCUUCCCUUCUUCUGUUCCUCAUCUCCCUACACUGACUGCCUUCCUGCCUAAUGUGUCAUUCAUUUGACAGUAAAGUAAUAUUCAUUCCUUGCAGCCUAGGAUUCACAUCUUGUCUCCUAACAAAAUUGCCAACUCCUUGAUAUCCACAAACUAAGUCUGUGUGUUAUAAACCUUGCAGUCAGCAGCACACAAGAACAAUGAAGUUCAACAUGUAAACCCGCCACGAUUUCAUGGAUGCUGGUAGAAG
rnacentral:lncRNA from 1 species